AUGGACGGGUGCAAGCAGGAGUUCCCUGGAUCCCAGGGCCUCCCGCACCCCACCCUCAGGCUCCUCUGUCACGCGCCUCCAAGCUGGGGUCCAGGCUUUCCUGCCUCUACCGUGGUUAGGAGCAUGUGGUUAGCCCACACGGGGCCGGGGGGGUGGGGCUAUGCACACUGUGACGGUGGGGGUGGCAGUGUUCUUCACCCAGAGCUGCGGUGGGAGCUCUCCAAGUGUGUACCGAGCGCGCAUGCCCCAGGUUGGCCGUGCUCACCCCACUCUCGGUUAGUCUUUCUGCAGGAAGAGCGGGCAAACUCCUGGCGGGUGCAAGGGGGCCACUGGUCCCUGGGGGAGGUAGAGACCAGGUGGCAAGAUAACCCCUGAGUGACUUCUUCCCGCCCCACCCCGUCCGUGAAGACCCGCCCAGUCCCCUUCAGCCGCCAUCUGUCUUUCGUGUUAUGUUUUACUGUCAUAAAUAAGACUCUCUCUUGGUAAGAAUGGCCUUCCCUUGCUUUUCCUUCAAUGUUCUACUGUUGUUACAUGUGAGAGACAGGGAUACAGAGCAGGAGAUGGGGGAGGCCCUGUUGCCUGGUUCCUUUCUCCAGUGCGCACAGUGGUGGGGGCUGGGCUAGGGCUGGGGCCAGGAGCUGGGAAGGCCAUCUGAGUUCUCACAAGUGGACACCAGGGACCCUGCUCCUGGGGCCUCUCAAGAUGGGGUGGAGGUGGGGAGCUGGGUCAGCAGCCAGAGCUGGCUAUGCAGCCUGUGUCCCUGACGCCCUAAGUGCCCGAUCGAAGUCCAGCCCCAGGGUGUGUCUCAUUCUAGACGCUCUGCCAUACCCAGGAACACGAGUGCUUCCCGUUAGUUCUCCUGCUAUUCCACCGUCUGCUCUCGGUGUUGCUGCAAUUCAGUGCCUCACCCAGGAGCAUUUUUAAAAAUGCUUCUUUGGUUCUAAUGUCUGAGUAUUUGUUUCCUCCUUUACAAUUCAUAAAGAUUUUUUUCUUCACAAUGUAAAGCUGUCCACUUCUAAAAAAUAUUUAUUUAUUUGAAAGGCAGAGUUUGAGAGAGACAGGGAGAGACAGAGAGCAGAGAGAGGUCUUCCAUCCACUGGUUCACUCCCCAAGUGGCUGCCACAACAGGGGCAGGGGCCAGGCCAGAGCCAGGAGUCAGGAGCUUCCUCUGGGUCUCCCCUGUGAGUGGGGGGCCCAGUCGCUUGGGCCAUGUUCUACUGAUUCCUCAAGCAAAUUGGCAGGGAGCUGGCUUGGAAGCAGAGCAGCCUGGGUUCGAACCAGUGCCUAUGUGGGGGUGCUGGUGUCACAGGCAGAGGCUUAACUUGUUGCACCCCAGUGCCAGCCCAGAGCUUGGAGAGAUGGAGAAGUUCUCCCU
rnacentral:lncRNA from 1 species